CUACGGGGCGCACCAGUGGGGAAUAUUGCACAAUGGAGGAAACUCUGAUGCAGCAACGCCGCGUGGAGGAUGACACUUUUCGGAGCGUAAACUCCUUUUAUAUAGGAAGAAGAUGACGGUACUAUAUGAAUAAGCGCCGGCUAACUCCGUGCCAGCAGCCGCGGUAAUACGGAGGGCGCAAGCGUUACUCGGAAUCACUGGGCGUAAAGAGCGUGUAGGCGGAUUAAAAAGUCAGAAGUGAAAUCCUAUAGCUUAACUAUAGAACUGCUUCUGAAACUCUUAAUCUAGAAUAUGGGAGAGGUAAAUGGAAUUUCUGGUGUAGGGGUAAAAUCCGUAGAGAUCAGAAGGAAUACCGAUUGCGAAGGCGAUCUACUAGAACAUUAUUGACGCUGAGACGCGAAAGCGUGGGGAGCAAACAGGAUUAGAUACCCGGGUAGUC
rnacentral:rRNA from 1 species